rnacentral:tRNA from 1 species
GGGGUUGUGGCUCAGUGGUAGAGCAUUUGCCUAGCAUGCAUGAGGCACUGGGUUAGAUCCCCAGCACCACA